rnacentral:tRNA from 1 species
CUAGAUUUACUUAGAAUAAUUUUUUUCUUACAAUAAAAUAUUCCUUUAUUUUAUAGGGUUCUAAA